rnacentral:rRNA from 1 species
ACGGGAGGCAGCAGUGGGGAAUAUUGCACAAUGGGGGAAACCCUGAUGCAGCGACGCCGCGUGAGUGAAGAAGUAUUUCGGUAUGUAAAGCUCUAUCAGCAGGAAAGAAAAUGACGGUACCUGACUAAGAAGCCCCGGCUAACUACGUGCCAGCAGCCGCGGUAAUACGUAGGGGGCAAGCGUUAUCCGGAUUUACUGGGUGUAAAGGGAGCGUAGACGGUAAGGCAAGUCUGAAGUGAAAUGCCAGGGCUCAACCCUGGAACUGCUUUGGAAACUGUCCUACUAGAGUGCAGAAGAGGUAAGUGGAAUUCCUAGUGUAGCGGUGAAAUGCGUAGAUAUUAGGAGGAACACCAGUGGCGAAGGCGGCUUACUGGACUGUAACUGACGUUGAGGCUCGAAAGCGUGGGGAGCAAACAGGAUUAGAUACCCUGGUA